rnacentral:miRNA from 1 species
AGUCUCUCACAUGGCUGGUCUA